UACGUAGGGCGCAAGCGUUGUCCGGAAUUAUUGGGCGUAAAGAGCUCGUAGGCGGUUUGUCACGUCGGCUGUGAAAACCCGAGGCUCAACCUCGGGCCUGCAGUCGAUACGGGCAGACUAGAGUGCUGUAGGGGAGACUGGAAUUCCUGGUGUAGCGGUGGAAUGCGUAGAGAUCGGGAAGAACACCAGUGGCGAAGGCGGUCUGCUGGGCCGUUGCUGACGCUGAUGCGCGACAGCGUGGGGAGCAAACAGG
rnacentral:rRNA from 1 species